rnacentral:rRNA from 1 species
AUUGAACGCUGGCGGCAGGCCUAACACAUGCAAGUCGAACGAGUGGCGGACGGGUGAGUAAUGUCUGGGAAACUGCCUGAUGGAUGGGGAUAACUACUGGAAACGGUAGCUAAUACCGCAUACCAUCAGAUGUGCCCAGAUGGGAUUAGCUAGUAGGUGGGGUAAUGGCUAACCUAGGCGACGAUACCUAGCUGGUCUGAGAGGAUGACGAGCAACACUGGACCUGCGACACGGUCCAGACUCCUACGGUAGGCAGCAGUGGGGAAUAUUGCAAAAUGGGCGCAAGCCGGAUGCAGCCAUGCCGCGUGUGGGAAGAAGGCCUUCGGGUUGUAAAGCACUUUCAGCGAGGAGGCGUUACUCGCAGAAGAAGCACCGGCUAACUCCGUGCCAGCAGCCGCGGUAAUUC